rnacentral:rRNA from 1 species
UACAGAGGUCUCGAGCGUUAGGCGGAAUCACUGGGCUUAAAGCGUGUGUAGGCGGAUUGCUAAGUACCUUGUGAAAUCCCACGGCUUAACCGUGGAACUGCUUGGUAUACUGGCUGUCUUGAGCCACUUAGGGGCAACCGGAACAAACGGUGGAGCGGUGAAAUGCGUAGAUAUCGUUUGGAACGCCAAUGGUGAAAACAGGUAGCUGGGGAGGUGCCGACGCUGAGACACGAAAGCCAGGGGAGCGAACGGG